GAAAAGGCACCCUACUCCCAACAAACUGAGGAGAACUAGGCAGCUUUCUGAUCAGAGUUCAGAUGAAGAAGGUCACAGUAAUGUGUGGCCGCUGACUAAAAUAACCCCGUGGAUGGGAGAGUUAACCACAUUAGAAGCAAACUAAAAAGCUUAAGGUUAGACAUCACAACUUUCUUUGCAGCAUCUGAAUGCUUUCUCAGAAAGCUGCAGAAGAGCCACUGAAGGUAAUAAAUGAUGUGUGCAAGGAAGAGAAAGGGCACACACUGAGAUGUGCCAAUUGAUGCUGAUGACAAAAUUGAGCAGAGUCCCUUUGUGCUGGGCACUGCUCUGGACACUGGCAAAGGAACCAUGAUCUGUGCCAAGCUCCUGGAUGAAGCUUGCUUUUCAAUGGGAAGACAGAUAAUAAACUAAUUGGCAAAUCAACAAAUACACAGAAUUUUCGAUAUUGUGUCUGUUCAGGAAAAAAAUA
ensembl:lncRNA